CUGAACUUGAAAUGACCCAGACUGCUUGUUGUUUAUGGCCCAGAGUUGCUUUUCCUUGACAUUUCCAUCCACAGCAUGACACCCUUUUUGUUUUUCUUUCUUUCUUGUGGAGAUGAAUGAACAAGACAUACGAUAUCGGGACACUCUUGGUCAUGGCAACGGAGGCACAGUCUACAAAGCAUAUCAUGUCCCGAGUGGGAAAAUAUUAGCUGUAAAGGUCAUACUACUAGAUAUUACACUGGAACUUCAGAAGCAAAUUAUGUCUGAAUUGGAAAUUCUUUAUAAGUGCGAUUCAUCAUAUAUCAUUGGAUUUUAUGGAGCAUUUUUUGUAGAAAACAGGAUUUCAAUAUGUACAGAAUUCAUGGAUGGGGGAUCUUUGGAUGUAUAUAGGAAAAUGCCAGAACAUGUCCUUGGAAGAAUUGCAGUAGCAGUUGUUAAAGGCCUUACUUAUUUGUGGAGUUUAAAGAUUUUACAUAGAGACGUGAAGCCCUCCAAUAUGCUAGUAAACACAAGAGGACAGGUUAAGCUGUGUGAUUUUGGAGUUAGCACUCAGCUGGUGAAUUCUAUAGCCAAGACGUAUGUUGGAACAAAUGCUUAUAUGGCGCCUGAAAGGAUUUCAGGGGAGCAGUAUGGAAUUCAUUCUGAUGUCUGGAGCUUAGGAAUCUCUUUUAUGGAGGUACGUUGUUUGCACAUAGACGCUUCUGUGCAUAUCUGUACUAAUAUAUUCAAUCAGGAAAAGUGAAGAUUUUGAAAGAAUAAGCUAAAAUAAACCUUCAGCAUGUUAUAUAGAUGUAUACAGAGUUUGACCAUAAAGUCUUUGAUUCCUUGUGUGGCUUGUGAACUGACUCUGGAGGUUAUUUUAAAGCACUGUUUAUUACAGAUCACCUGUGUAAGACCUGCCUGGAGCGCUUGUUAAAAAUACAGAUUCUUCAACCCCGUUCAAGACCAAUUAAAUCCACACCUCUAAGAAUCUGCAUUGUUAACCUGUUCCCUGGGUGAUUCUUAUACAUACUAAAUCUGGAGAACCCGUGAUGUAAAAUAGGGACUCCAGAAAAAUUCUGUGCCCUGUUGGAAUGCAUAUGUAACUUCCAACGGUGAUUAGUUUAAAAGAUACAGCACUACUCAUUUAGAUAUAUAAGUUAUAUAUGUUUGUUUUAA
rnacentral:lncRNA from 1 species